rnacentral:rRNA from 1 species
UGGGGAAUAUUGGACAAUGGGGGGAACCCUGAUCCAGCCAUGCCGCGUGUGCGAAGAAGGCCUUAUGGUUGUAAAGCACUUUAAGCAGUGAAGAAUACAUCAUGGCUAAUAUCCGUGAUGAGUGACAUUAGCUGCAGAAUAAGCACCGGCUAACUCUGUGCCAGCAGCCGCGGUAAUACAGAGGGUGCGAGCGUUAAUCGGAAUUACUGGGCGUAAAGCGAGCGUAGGUGGUUUAUUAAGUCAGAUGUGAAAUCCCUGGGCUUAACCUAGGAACUGCAUCUGAUACUGACAAACUAGAGUAGGUGAGAGGAAAGUAGAAUUCCAGGUGUAGCGGUGAAAUGCGUAGAGAUCUGGAGGAAUACCGAUGGCGAAGGCAGCUUUCUGGCAUCAUACUGACACUGAGGUUCGAAAGCGUGGGUAGCAAACAGGAUUAGAUACCCUGGUAGUCCACGCCGUAAACGAUGUCUACCAGUCGUUGGGUCUUUUAAAGACUUAGUGACGCAGUUAACGCGAUAAGUAGACCGCCUGGGGCGUACGGCCGCAAGGUUA